GACGAACGCUGGCGGCGUGCUUAACACAUGCAAGUCGAACGGAAAGGCCCUGCUUUUGUGGGGUGCUCGAGUGGCGAACGGGUGAGUAACACGUGAGUAACCUGCCCUUGACUUUGGGAUAACUUCAGGAAACUGGGGCUCAUACCGGAUAGGAGCUCCUGCUGCAUGGUGGGGGUUGGAAAGUUUCGGCGUUUGGGGAUGGACUCGCGGCUUAUCAGCUUGUUGGGGGGGUAGUGGCUUACCAAGGCUUUGACGGGUAGCCGGGCUGGGAGGGGGACCGGCAACAUUGGGACUGAGAUACGGCCCAGACUCCUACGGGAGGCAGCAGUGGGGAAUAGUGCACAAUGGGCGGAAGCCUGAUGCAGCAACGCCGCGUGCGGGAUAACGGCCUUCGGGUUGUAAACCGCUUUCGCCUGUGACGAAGCGUGAGUGACGGUAAUGGGUAAAGAAGCACCGGCUAACUACGUG
rnacentral:rRNA from 1 species